UCUGUUUGAUCCUGGCGGAGGCCACUGCUAUCGGAGUUCGAUUAAGCCAUGCGAGUCGAGAGGUGUAAGACCUCGGCAUACUGCUCAGUAACACGUGGACAACCUACCCUGAAGAGGGGGAUAACCCCGGGAAACUGGGGAUAAUACCCCAUAGACUAUGGAUGCUGGAAUGCUUUGUAGUUGAAAGGUCCGCCGCUUCAGGAUGGGUCUGCGGCCGAUUAGGUUGUUGUUGGGGUAACGGCCCAACAAGCCUGUAAUCGGUACGGGUUGUGGGAGCAAGAGCCCGGAGAUGGAUUCUGAGACACGAAUCCAGGCCCUACGGGGCGCAGCAGGCGCGAAAACUUUACAAUGCGAGCAAUCGUGAUAAGGGAACUCCGAGUGCCUGUAAAAUCAGGCUGUCCGCCAGUGUAAAUAACUGGUGAAGAAAGGGCCGGGCAAGACCGGUGCCAGCCGCCGCGGUAAUACCGGCGGCUCGAGUGGUGGCCACUAUUACUGGGCUUAAAGCGUUCGUAGCUGGUCUGUUAAGUCUCUGGGGAAAUCUUCCGGCUUAACCGGAAGGCGUCUCAGGGAUACUGGCAGACUAGGGACCGGAAGAGGUGAGAGGUACUCCAGGGGUAGGAGUGAAAUCCUGUAAUCCUUGGGGGACCACCUGUGGCGAAGGCGUCUCACCAGGACGGCUCCGACAGUGAGGAACGAAAGCUGGGGGAGCAAACCGGAUUAGAUACCCGGGUAGUCCCAGCUGUAAACGAUGCGCGUUAGGUGUAUCGGUGACCACGAGUCACCGAGGUGCCGAAGAGAAAUCGUGAAACGCGCCGCCUGGGAAGUACGGUCGCAAGGCUGAAACUUAAAGGAAUUGGCGGGGGAGCACCACAACGGGUGGAGCCUGCGGUUUAAUCGGACUCAACGCCGGGAAACUCACCGGACAAGACAGCUGAAUGAUAGUCGGGCUGAAGACUCUACUUGACUAGCUGAGAGGAGGUGCAUGGCCGUCGUCAGUUCGUACUGUGAAGCAUCCUGUUAAGUCAGGCAACGAGCGAGACCCA
rnacentral:rRNA from 1 species